rnacentral:rRNA from 1 species
GCGACGCCGCGUGAGGGAUGAGGCCUUCGGGUUGUAAACCUCUUUCAUCAGGGAAGAAGCCUCAGUGACGGUACCUGCAGAAGAAGCGCCGGCUAACUACGUGCCAGCAGCCGCGGUAAUACGUAGGGUGCAAGCGUUGUCCGGAAUUAUUGGGCGUAAAGAGCUCGUAGGCGGUUUGUCGCGUCGGCUGUGAAAACCUCAGGCUCAACCUGGGGCUU